rnacentral:rRNA from 1 species
GUGGGGAAUAUUGGACAAUGGGCGGAAGCCUGAUCCAGCCAUGCCGCGUGUGUGAAGAAGGCCUUUUGGUUGUAAAGCACUUUAAGCGAGGAGGAGGCUCUUAAGGUUAAUACCCUUGAUGAGUGGACGUUACUCGCAGAAUAAGCACCGGCUAACUCUGUGCCAGCAGCCGCGGUAAUACAGAGGGUGCGAGCGUUAAUCGGAUUUACUGGGCGUAAAGCGUGCGUAGGCGGCUGAUUAAGUCGGAUGUGAAAUCCCUGAGCUUAACUUAGGAAUUGCAUUCGAUACUGGUCAGCUAGAGUAUGGGAGAGGAUGGUAGAAUUCCAGGUGUAGCGGUGAAAUGCGUAGAGAUCUGGAGGAAUACCGAUGGCGAAGGCAGCCAUCUGGCCUAAUACUGACGCUGAGGUACGAAAGCAUGGGGAGCAAACAGGAUUAGAUACCCUGGUAGUCC